GAUGAAGAACGUGGCGAAAUGCGAUAAGUAAUGUGAAUUGCAGAAUUCAGUGAAUCAUCGAAUCUUUGAACGCACAUUGCGCCCGCCAGCACUCUGGCGGGCAUGCCUGUUCGAGCGUCAUUUCAACCAUCAAGCCCCCAGGGGCUUGUGCUGGGGCCCUGCGGCUGCCCGCAGGCCCUGAAAACCAGUGGCGGGCUCGCUAGUCACACCGAGCGCAGUAGCACAUCUCGCUCAGGGCGUGCGGCGGGCUCCUGCCGUGAAACCCCCCACUGUAACCCCAAAGGUUGACCUCGGAUCAGGUAGGAAUACCCGCUGAACUUAAGCAUAUCAAUAAGCGGAGGA
rnacentral:misc_RNA from 1 species